rnacentral:rRNA from 1 species
CUUGCUUCUUCUGAUUUAGCGGCGGACGGGUGAGUAACACGUGGGCAACCUGCCCUGUAGAUUGGGAUAACUCCGGGAAACCGGGGCUAAUACCGAAUAAUCCAUUUCCUCUCAUGGGGGAAUGUUAAAAGACGGUUUCGGCUGUCACUACAGGAUGGGCCCGCGGCGCAUUAGCUAGUUGGUGAGGUAACGGCUCACCAAGGCGACGAUGCGUAGCCGACCUGAGAGGGUGAUCGGCCACACUGGGACUGAGACACGGCCCAGACUCCUACGGGAGGCAGCAGUAGGGAAUCUUCCACAAUGGACGAAAGUCUGAUGGAGCAACGCCGCGUGAGUGAAGAAGGUUUUCGGAUCGUAAAACUCUGUUGUGAGGGAAGAACAAGUACGAGAGUAACUGCUCGUACCUUGACGGUACCUCAUUAGAAAGCCACGGCUAACUACGUGCCAGCAGCCGCGGUAAUACGUAGGUGGCAAGCGUUGUCCGGAAUUAUUGGGCGUAAAGCGCGCGCAGGCGGUCCUUUAAGUCUGAUGUGAAAGCCCACGGCUCAACCGUGGAGGGUCAUUGGAAACUGGGGGACUUGAGUGCAGAAGAGGAAAGUGGAAUUCCAAGUGUAGCGGUGAAAUGCGUAGAGAUUUGGAGGAACACCAGUGGCGAAGGCGACUUUCUGGUCUGUAACUGACGCUGAGGCGCGAAAGCGUGGGGAGCAAACAGGAUUAGAUACCCUGGUAGUCCACGCCGUAAACGAUGAGUGCUAAGUGUUAGGGGGUUUCCGCCCCUUAGUGCUGCAGCUAACGCAUUAAGCACUCCGCCUGGGGAGUACGGUCGCAAGACUGAAACUCAAAGGAAUUGACGGGGGCCCGCACAAGCGGUGGAGCAUGUGGGUUUAAUUCGAAGCAACGCGAGAACCCUUACCAGGUCUUGACAUCCCGCUGACCGUCCUAGAGAUAGGAUUUUCCCUUCGGGACAGCGUGACAGUGUGCAUGGUUGUCGUCAGCUCGUGUCGUGAGAUGUUGGGUAAGUCCCGCACGAGCGCACCUGAUCUAGUUGCAGCAUCC